rnacentral:rRNA from 1 species
AGUGAACGCUGGCGGCAGGCCUAAUACAUGCAAGUCGAACGGCAGCACAGCAGAGCUUGCUCUGUGGGUGGCGAGUGGCGGACGGGUGAGGAAUACGUGGGAAUCUGCCCAGUCGUGGGGGAUAACGUAGGGAAACUUACGCUAAUACCGCAUGCGCCCUUUGGGGGAAAGCCGGGGAUCUUCGGACCUGGCGCGAUUGGAUGAGCCCACGUCGGAUUAGCUAGUUGGGGGGUAAAGCCCACCAAGGCUACGAUCCGUAGCUGGUCUGAGAGGAUGAUCAGCCACACUGGAACUGAGACACGGUCCAGACUCCUACGGGGGGCAGCAGUAGGGAAUAUUGGACAAUGGGCGCAAGCCUGAUCCAGCCAUGCCGCGUGUGUGAAGAAGGGCCUUCGGGUUGUAAAGCACUUUUUAUCCGGAAAGAAAGCGCUGGGUUAAUACCCUGGGUGUCCUGACGGUACCGGAAGAAUAAAGCACCGGGCUAACUUCGUAGCCAGC